UGCCCAAAAAAUAAAGUCCAUCGAUUGAAUCGAUUAAACGCGGAGACGAUCGAUUGUUCCGCUUGCCCAAAAAAUAAAGUCCAUCGAUCGAAUCGAUUGAUUGUUCCGCUGUUUGGUUGUUCCUUAGUUCUCUUCGCAGUCGCAGAUCGCACGCGAGCAGCCAGGCCGGCUGGGUUGUUGCCGUCGGCUGAUCGACGAUCGCGCGUGCGCACGGCGGCGCCGACGGCGACAAGAAUCCAUCCCUCGCUGUCUAGCUCCCUGCCCCCUUUUGGUUCUGAUCUUUGUAGUCGGCUGCGGCAGCAGGCCACAUCGAUUCAGUUUCACAACCACGUACAACUCACAGAUUCAACUACUGAAGGAAUGAAUGGUUGGAUAAGGAGUACCCGGGCGCAUAGGCUCUAAAACAUGUUUUCGAGGUGCAGGCAGGAGCACAAUUUUCUUCUCGCUUUCCAGCAGGCUGCAGUACAGACUUACAAGUUUAAGUGUAAACCAUGCAGAGGAAGAGUACCGAUACUACUGAUAUGAGAGCUUUCUUGAAUGAUGGGGCAAAAAUACUUGAAUGAUAUCUUGUUCACAUUCAUUCAAAGGCAAUUCUUCUUGCAAGUUAGGGAUGAUGACAUCAAAAAUCGUUUUCAAAGCAUUAAGGA